rnacentral:rRNA from 1 species
ACACGACUACAUUAGAUACCCGCGUAGUCCUAGCCGUAAACGAUACUCGCUAGGUGUCGGCCACGGUGCGACCGUUGUCGGUGCCGUAGGGAAGCCGUGAAGCGAGCCACCUGGGAAGUACGGUCGCAAGGCUGAAACUUAAAGGAAUUGGCGGGGAGCACCACAACAGGUGGAGCCUGCGGUUUAAUUGGAUUCAACGCCGGACAUCUCACCGGAUAAGACAGCUGAAUGAUUGUCAAUCUGAAGGUUUUACAUGACUAGCUG